GGAAUAUUGCGCAAUGGAGGGAACUCUGACGCAGUGACGCCGCGUAUAGGAAGAAGGUUUUCGGAUUGUAAACUAUUGUCGUUAGGGAAGAUAAAAGACAGUACCUAAGGAGGAAGCCCCGGCUAACUAUGUGCCAGCAGCCGCGGUAAUACAUAGGGGGCGAGCGUUAUCCGGAAUUAUUGGGUGUAAAGGGUGCGGAGACGGGAAUGCAAGUUGGUUGUGAAAUCCCUCGGCUUAACUGAGGAACUGCAACCAAAACUAUGUUUCUUGAGUGCGGGAGAGGAAAGUGGAAUUCCUAGUGUAGCGGUGAAAUGCGUAGAUAUUAGGAGGAACACCAGUGGCGAAGGCGACUUUCUGGACCGUAACUGACGUUGAGGCACGAAAGUGUGGGGAGCAAACA
rnacentral:rRNA from 1 species